GGUGUAGCCAUGGCAGCUAACGCUACUACCAACCCAUUGCAGCUGCUGCCGUUAGAGCUUGGACAAAUGUAUAGGAUCAAGAACUCACAUUGUUAUGAAGAGUGAUAAGGAAAUUGUUGGUACUCUAGGAUUUGAUGACUUUGUCAAUAUGGUACUGGAAGUUGUCACUAAGUUUGAAAUCACACCAAAAGGAAGAAGGAUUACUAAAUUAGAUCAGAUUUUGCUAAAUGGAAAUAAUAUAACAAUGCUGGUUCCUGGAGGAGAAGGACCUGAAGUGUGAAUGAGUUUCCUUGACUUAUGCUAGAUUCUGUUUUGUCUUAUAAUGACAAGAAAAUUGAUUUUUUUUCACCUUCUAAUGUUUAAAUCCUGUAAAGCUA